rnacentral:rRNA from 1 species
UACACAUGCAGUCGAGCGGAUGACGGGAGCUUGCUCCUUGAUUCAGCGGCGGACGGGUGAGUAAUGCCUAGGAAUCUGCCUGGUAGUGGGGGACAACGUUUCGAAAGGAACGCUAAUACCGCAUACGUCCUACGGGAGAAAGCAGGGGACCUUCGGGCCUUGCGCUAUCAGAUGAGCCUAGGUCGGAUUAGCUAGUUGGUGGGGUAAUGGCUCACCAAGGCGACGAUCCGUAACUGGUCUGAGAGGAUGAUCAGUCACACUGGAACUGAGACACGGUCCAGACUCCUACGGGAGGCAGCAGUGGGGAAUAUUGGACAAUGGGCGAAAGCCUGAUCCAGCCAUGCCGCGUGUGUGAAGAAGGUCUUCGGAUUGUAAAGCACUUUAAGUUGGGAGGAAGGGCAGUAAGUUAAUACCUUGCUGUUUUGACGUUACCGACAGAAUAAGCACCGGCUAACUCUGUGCCAGCAGCCGCGGUAAUACAGAGGGUGCAAGCGUUAAUCGGAAUUACUGGGCGUAAAGCGCGCGUAGGUGGUUUGUUAAGUUGGAUGUGAAAGCCCCGGGCUCAACCUGGG